rnacentral:tRNA from 1 species
GGAGAGGUGGCCGAGUUGGCCGAAGGCGGUCGCCUGCUAAGCGACUGUAGCGGCACAAACCGCUACCGCGGGUUCGAAUCCCGCCCUCUCCGCCA